GCUUGCUUCUUUGAGACCGGCGCACGGGUGCGUAACGCGUAUGCAACCUACCUUUAUCUUGGGGGAUAGCCCGGAGAAAUCCGGAUUAAUACCGCAUAAAAUCACAGUAUUGCAUAAUACAAUGAUCAAACAUUUAUGGGAUGAAGAUGGGCAUGCGUGUCAUUAGCUAGUUGGCGGGGUAACGGCCCACCAAGGCGACGAUGACUAGGGGAUCUGAGAGGAUGACCCCCCACACUGGUACUGAGACACGGACCACACUCCUACGGGAGGCAGCAGUAAGGAAUAUUGGUCAAUGGAGGCAACUCUGAACCAGCCAUGCCGCGUGCAGGAAGACUGCCCUAUGGGUUGUAAACUGCUUUUAUCCGGGAAUAAACCUAUUUACGAGUAAAUAGCUGAAUGUACCGGAAGAAUAAGGAUCGGCUAACUCCGUGCCAGCAGCCGCGGUAAUACGGAGGAUCCAAGCGUUAUCCGGAUUUAUUGGGUUUAAAGGGUGCGUAGGCGGCCCGUUAAGUCAGGGGUGAAAGACGGUAGCUCAACUAUCGCAGUGCCUUUGAUACUGACGGGCUUGAAUGAACUAGAGGUAGGCGGAAUGAGACAAGUAGCGGUGAAAUGCAUAGAUAUGUCUCAGAACACCGAUUGCGAAGGCAGCUUACUAUGGUUUAAUUGACGCUGAGGCACGAAAGCGUGGGGAUCAAACAGGAUUAGAUACCCUGGUAGUCCACGCCCUAAACGAUGAACACUCGCUGUUGGCGAUACACAGUCAGCGGCUAAGCGAAAGCGUUAAGUGUUCCACCUGGGGAGUACGGUCGCAAGAUUGAAACUCAAAGGAAUUGACGGGGGCCCGCACAAGCGGAGGAGCAUGUGGUUUAAUUCGAUGAUACGCGAGGAACCUUACCCGGGCUUGAAAGUUAGUGAAUCAUUUAGAGAUAAAUGAGUGAGCAAUCACACGAAACUAGGUGCUGCAUGGCUGUCGUCAGCUCGUGCCGUGAGGUGUUGGGUUAAGUCCCGCAACGAGCGCAACCCCUAUGUUUAGUUGCCAGCACGUUAAGGUGGGGACGCUAAACAGACUGCCUGUGCAAACAGAGAGGAAGGAGGGGACGACGUCAAGGCAGCAUGGCCCUUCACGUCCGGGGCUCACACACGUGCUACAAUGGAUGGUAGCAGCGGGCAGCCACAUAGCACUAUGAUGCGAAGCGCACAAAGCCA
rnacentral:rRNA from 1 species